GACAACUUGGCCGAGUGGUUAAGGCGACGCCCUGCUAUUCAUCUUGCGAAGAAAGGCGUUGUGUUUUACACGCGCAGGUUCGAAUCCUGCAGUUGUCG
rnacentral:tRNA from 1 species